rnacentral:rRNA from 1 species
AACGAACGCUGGCGGCAUGCCUAACACAUGCAAGUCGAACGAGACCUUCGGGUCUAGUGGCGCACGGGUGCGUAACGCGUGGGAACCUGCCCUUAGGUUCGGAAUAACUCCCCGAAAGGGGUGCUAAUACCGGAUAAUGUCUUCGGACCAAAGAUUUAUCGCCUUUGGAUGGGCCCGCGUUGGAUUAGCUAGUUGGUAGGGUAAAAGCCUACCAAGGCGACGAUCCAUAGCUGGUCUGAGAGGAUGAUCGGCCAAACUGGGACUGAGACACGGCACAGACGCCGACGGGAGGCAGCAGGGGGGACGGUGGCAGUAUGGGAGGAAGCCGGAUGAAGCAUCGAUGCGUGCGGGAAGAAGGACUUCGGGGGGGAAACCGCUUUCGCCUGUGACGAAGCGUGAGGGACGGGAAUGGGUAAAGAAGCAACGACUAACUAGGUG